rnacentral:rRNA from 1 species
AAUCUUCCACAAUGGGCGAAAGCCUGAUGGAGCAACGCCGCGUGAGUGAAGAAGGAUUUCUGAUCGUAAUACUCUGCUGUAAGGGGAGCACAAGUACUGUCGUAGCUGGCUGCACCUUGAUUGUACUUUAUCAUAAAGCCACGGCUAACUACGUCUCAUCAGCCGCGGUAAUACGUAGGUGGCAAGCGUUGUACGGAAUUAUUUGGCGUAAAGCGAGCGCAGGCGGGCCUUUAAGUCUGAUGUGAAAGCCCACGGCUCAACCGUGGAAGGUCAUUGGAAACUGGGGGACUUGAGUGCAGAAGAGGAAAGUGGAAUUCCAAGUGUAGCGGUGAAAUGCGUAGAGAUUUGGAGGAACACCAGUGGCGAAGGCGACUUUCUGGUCUGUAACUGACGCUGAGGCGCGAAAGCGUGGGGAGCAAACAGG